GACGAACGCUGGCGGCGUGCUUAACACAUGCAAGUCGAACGGAAAGGCCCUGCUUUUGUGGGGUGCUCGAGUGGCGAACGGGUGAGUAACACGUGAGUAACCUGCCCUUGACUUUGGGAUAACUUCAGGAAACUGGGGCUAAUACCGGAUAGGAGCUCCUGCUGCAUGGUGGGGGUUGGAAAGUUUCGGCGGUUGGGGAUGGACUCGCGGCUUAUCAGCUUGUUGGUGGGGUAGUGGCUUACCAAGGCUUUGACGGGUAGCCGGCCUGAGAGGGUGACCGGCCACAUUGGGACUGAGAUACGGCCCAGACUCCUACGGGAGGCAGCAGUGGGGAAUAUUGCACAAUGGGCGGAAGCCUGAUGCAGCAACGCCGUGUGCGGGAUGACGGCCCUCGGGUUGUAAACCGCUUUCGCCUGUGACGAAGCGUGAGUGACGGUAAUGGGUAAAGAAGCACCGGCUAACUACGUG
rnacentral:rRNA from 1 species